rnacentral:rRNA from 1 species
GGGGUAUAUUGCACACUGGGCGCAAAGCCUUGAUGCAGCCAUGCCGCGUGUGUGAAGAAGGCCUUCGGGUUGUAAAGCAUCUUUCAGCGAGGAGGAAGGUGGUGAGCUUAAUACGCUCAUCAAUUGACUGUUACUCGCAGAAGAAGCACCGGCUAACUCCGUGCCAGCAGCG